rnacentral:rRNA from 1 species
GACGAACGCUGGCGGCGUGCUUAACACAUGCAAGUCGAACGGAAAGGCCCCCACUUUUUUGGUGGGGGUGCUCGAGUGGCGAACGGGUGAGUAACACGUGGGUGAUCUGCCCUGCACUUCGGGAUAAGCUUGGGAAACUGGGUCUAAUACCGGAUAGGACCAUGGUUUAGUGUCUCAUGGUGGAAAAAUUAUUGUUUUGGUGCAGGAUGAGCUCGCGGCCUAUCAGCUUGUUGGUGGGGUAAUGGCCUACCAAGGCGUCGACGGGUAGCCGGCCUGAGAGGGUGGACGGCCACAUUGGGACUGAGAUACGGCCCAGACUCCUACGGGAGGCAGCAGUGGGGAAUAUUGCACAAUGGGCGCAAGCCUGAUGCAGCGACGCCGCGUGGGGGAUGACGGCCUUCGGGUUGUAAACUCCUUUCGUUAGGGACGAAGCCACACCUUUUUUUGGGUGUGGUGA